rnacentral:rRNA from 1 species
AUGGCUGGGGCUCACCAAGCCGUCCUACUCCGGGCGCUUGGCUACCAGAGGCCUCGCGCAUUACCCCGACGGCCACGGAUUCCGGCCCGAGUUCCUGCAGUUCAUCGGCCUAGGCUUCCGCUUCGGCUUCGUGCCCUGCGACGACACUCGCAUCUACUGGUUCUACACCUGGUCUCCCUCCCAAAACGUGAGUGCGGACAAGGGCGUCGACGUCGAGAGCGCCGCCGACAUGAAGCAGCACGUGCUGGCCAGGCUGAGGAGCUCCAAGGUACCUGCGGGAGCGCUGGAGGUGGUGGAGCGGAGCGACAUGAGCGACGCGUCCGCCGCGCCGCUGCGGUUCCGAUCGCCGCUGGGAAACGUGUGCGUGGCUGGCGACGCGCUGCACCCGAUGACGCCGGACCUGGGCCAGGGCGGCUGCUCGGCGCUCGAGGACGGCGUCAUCCUGGCGAGAUGCCUCGGCGACGCCGUCCUUGGUAG